CUUAAGGAGACCACGGACCUGUAACCGACGCUAGUUCGUUGUACUCCUAUGGACCUCGCUUACCGGAGGAGCAUACCUGAUCACGGGUCACCUCUCGCCGUCUCGCUCGGACGUUCUCCAACCCCAGUCUCGGAUCACGCGGUUGCUGCCAACAAUACCCUCCAACCACUCCUUGGACAAUCUGGAAGGAUACUGGAGCUCAAGUCCAUCCUGACCUUUUCUAAUUAAAAACCUCAUUAUUCUCA